UACGUAGGGCGCAAGCGUUGUUCGGAAUUACUGGGCGUAAAGGGCUCGUAGGCGGCCAACUAAGUCAGACGUGAAAUCCCUCGGCUUAACCGGGGAACUGCGUCUGAUACUGGAUGGCUUGAGAUUGGGAGAGGGAUGCGGAAUUCCAGGUGUAGCGGUGAAAUGCGUAGAUAUCUGGAGGAACACCGGUGGCGAAGGCGGCAUCCUGGACCAACACUGACGCUGAGGAGCGAAAGCCAGGGGAGCAAACGGG
rnacentral:rRNA from 1 species